UAACUGCAAAAAAGGAACAAUUAUUUUUUAUUAAAACCUCAAAACAAACCAAAACAUACAGGGAAAAUGUACACCUUUAACUUAUACACUUUUAUAAACAAAAUAAAGUCUAUACUCUAUAUUUACAACAGCUGGGUUUUUUUCCAACAGUAGACCAAAUCAUAACUUCUUUUUUUUUCCUUCUAAAAUUCUUCUAAAAUCUGAUUUUACAGGUAAGAUACAAACUGUAUCAAUUCCUAUUUUAAAUUAUAUACACAAUUCCAGCAUGUUUGUUUUAAAUGCCAGCUAAUGAUAGACCGUUCUGUUUCUUUCAUUCCUCAGUUUCUCUAGUUAUUAAUUAAUUAUUUUUUAAAUUCUCAUUUCAACUAAAAAAAAUAUAUUUAAAAUAAAAGGAAAUAUUAAAAUGGCAGUAAUAACUUUUGAAUAGCUGGCAUGGUCAUGAGCUGUGAGGUGGAAUGAUCGUUCAAUACAUCAAAAACAGUUACAAACGUAAACGCAAACCCACGCUAUAUACACAAACUAAACAAAAACGAUGGGAAUAAAGCGAGGCCGGAUGGAUUACUGCUCACAUAUUCCUUUAUAAACUUUACUCAGACUGUCAUAUAUAUAUAUAUAUAUAUAUAUAUAUAUAUAUAUAUAUAUAUAUAUAUAUAUAUAUAUAUAUAUAUAUAUAUAUAUAUAUAUAUAUAUAUAUAGGUGCUCCAAAAAAAAAAAGUUUAAAAAGUGCAUUUUACAUGCCUGUGUGCCUCCUAUACUGUAGGACUUAAUAAGUAUUUGAGGUCAAUACCAGUCCUAAACAGCAGAGGGCGCAAUCAACUGCUGUAAACUCUCAGAAAUCAUCAAGUACCAAACUGUACUACUCCUUGCAAGAGUGGUAAUAUCUUUUGUACCUUUAGUAUGCAUCUAAGGUGUAUUUAAGGUGCAUAACUUGACCACUAAAAUGCUAUAAAAGCUAAUAAAAAGAAAACUAAAUGCACCUUCCUCACACACUAAAAAGGCACAAAUGAUGCCAAUUGGUACCAUGCCAGCAACAAGGACAAGGAAAAAAGUACUGUUUGGUACCUUUUUAUUUCUGAGAGGGUACGCAUAAGAUUUUGGGUAGAACUCCUGAAGUUAAACUCCUCAGUUCCUGAAGUGUACAAAUCUUACUUAAAACAUUUUUUAACUGCAUUUGUUUAUUUUAUUAUUAUUAUUUUAAAUUUCCUUUUCCUUCACAGAUAAGCAUCUGUAAGAGUUUAUCUUUCAGCACUCCAGGCGUGGAAAGUACCGCAUUCGGCUACGAACAGGAACUCUAACUUAAGGCAGAGGAAGUGUUUGCCGGAAAAGCCUCAGGUGACAUAACAAUAGUAAAAAGAGCAAACAACGUUUUUAAACACCACGUAUAAUUUAAAAAUAAUCAUUUACUUUGUUUUCAGUUGAGUUAUCAU
ensembl:lncRNA